rnacentral:misc_RNA from 1 species
GUCAAAGCUGCGGUUGCAUACUGAUAUUAUGGUACAUCUCCUGGUGGGCAUGUCGGGCAGGUCAACAUUCACAUAAUGUACCCAAUUAUCCAUAAUAUAGUUAUAAAAAUUUUUGUGGUGCUUCAAUCCACUAUGCACACUAUUGAUAGAAAUUGAUUGUUCAUUUUGUAUCAAGCCCAAUUUUGGGUUGUGGGUGUCAAAGCUGC